rnacentral:rRNA from 1 species
UUGUUGGAGAGUUUGAUCCUGGCUCAGGACGAACGCUGGCGGCGUGCUUAACACAUGCAAGUCGAGCGGAAAGGCCCUUCGGGGUACUCGAGCGGCGAACGGGGGAGUAACAAGUGA